AUUCGGUCCCUUUGCGAGUAAUUUGCAAUCAUGUGAUUUUCAUUUUAUUAGGAGAGAUACUAACCACCUGGCUCAUUUGUUAGCCCCGAGCACCCUUAGCGGUCCUCUACAAUCCGAGGGACCAAAUUAAGCUUGUAUCUUCACUGCUUCAUGCAGUUCCUUAUUAAUGAAUGAUCUUUUGGAAAGGAAAAAUAAAUUCCUAAAAGAGAAUUGCCA
rnacentral:misc_RNA from 1 species